rnacentral:rRNA from 1 species
GACAGAGGAUGCAAGCGUUAUCCGGAAUGAUUGGGCGUAAGCGUCUGUAGGUGGCUUUUAAGUCCGCCGUCAAAUCCCAGGGCUCAACCCUGGACAGGCGGUGGAAACUACCAAGCUGGAGUACGGUAGGGGCAGAGGGAAUUUCCGGUGGAGCGGUGAAAGUGCGGUAGAGAUCGGAAAGAACACCAACGGCGAAAGCAACUCUGCUGGGCCGACACUGACACUGAGAGACGAAAGCUAGGGGAGCGAAUGGG